UUGGGGUAUCGCCAAGCGGUAAGGCUCCGGUUUUUGAUACCGGCAUUCCCUGGUUCGAAUCCAGGUACCCCAGCCAU
rnacentral:tRNA from 1 species